rnacentral:rRNA from 1 species
CCUACGGGUGGCUGCAGUGGGGAAUAUUGGACAAUGGGGGGAACCCUGAUCCAGCCAUGCCGCGUGUGUGAAGAAGGCCCUCGGGUUGUAAAGCACUUUCAGUGAGGAAGAACGCCUGGUGGUUAAUACCCAUCAGGAAAGACAUCACUCACAGAAGAAGCACCGGCUAACUCCGUGCCAGCAGCCGCGGUAAUACGGAGGGUGCGAGCGUUAAUCGGAAUUACUGGGCGUAAAGCGCGCGUAGGUGGCUUGAUAAGCCGGUUGUGAAAGCCCCGGGCUCAACCUGGGAACGGCAUCCGGAACUGUCAAGCUAGAGUGCAGGAGAGGAAGGUAGAAUUCCCGGUGUAGCGGUGAAAUGCGUAGAGAUCGGGAGGGAUACCAGUGGCGAAGGCGGCCUUCUGGACUGACACUGACACUGAGGUGCGAAAGCGUGGGUAGCAAACAGGAUUAGAUACCCCUGUAGUC